rnacentral:rRNA from 1 species
GGCGACAACGGGUAGCUGGUCUGAGAGGAUGGUCAGCCACACUGGAACUGAGACACGGUCCAGACACCUACGGGUGGCAGCAGUCGAGAAUCAUUCGCAAUGGGGGAAACCCUGACGAUGCGACGCCGCGUGGAGGAUGAAGGCCUUAGGGUUGUAAACUCCUGUCAAGAGGGAAUAAGCAAGUGAAGGUACCUCUAGAGGAAGGGGCGGCUAAUUCCGUGCCAGCAGCCGCGGUAACACGGAAGCCCCGAGCGUUGUUCGGAUUCAUUGGGCGUAAAGGGUGCGUAGGCGGCGCGGAAAGUCCGGCGUGAAAGGCAGGGGCUCAACCUCUGGACUGCGUUGGAUACUUCCGUGCUUGAGGACUGGAGGGGAGACUGGAAUUCACGGUGUAGCAGUGAAAUGCGUAGAUAUCGUGAGGAAGACCGGUGGCGAAGGCGAGUCUCUGGACAGAUCCUGACGCUGAGGCACGAAGGCUGGGGGAGCGAACAGGAUUAGAUACCCUGGUAGUCCCAGCAGUAAACGAUGUGAGCUUGAUGUGGGGGGAUUCGACCCCUUCCGUGUCGAAGCUAACGCGAUAAGCUCACCGCCUGAGGAGUACGGCCGCAAGGCUAAAACUCAAAGAAAUUGACGGGGACCCGCACAAGCGGUGGAGUAUGUGGCUUAAUUCGAUGCAACGCGAAGAACCUUACCUGGCCUUGACAUGCAUUGUGUCGUCGGUGAAAGCCGGCUAGUCCUGGAAACAGGACGCUUUGCACAGGUGCUGCAUGGCUGUCGUCAGCUCGUGUCGUGAGAUGUUGGGUUAAGUCCCGCAACGAGCGCAACCCUUGUGGUCAGUUACUAACCGGCUUAGCCGGAGGACUCUGGCCAGACUGCCCUGUCAAACGGGGAGGAAGGUGGGGACGACGUCAAGUCAGUAUGGCCCUUAUGGCCAGGGCUGCACACGUACUACAAUGCCCGGUACAAUGUGAACCGAAACCGCGAGGUGGAGGAAAUCGCUCUUGAAAACCGGGCCCAGUUCGGAUUGGAGUCUGCAACUCGACUCCAUGAAGUCGGAAUCGCUAGUAAUGGCGUAUCAGCAACGACGCCGUGAUACGUUCCCGGGUCUUGUACACACCGCCCGUCACAUCAUGGAAGUCUCCUGUACCCGAAGCACGUGCGCCAAC